rnacentral:rRNA from 1 species
GAUCCUGGCUCAGGAUGAACGCUAGCUACAGGCUUAACACAUGCAAGUCGAGGGGCAUCAGGAAGAAAGCUUGCUUUCUUUGCUGGCGACCGGCGCACGGGUGAGUAACACGUAUCCAACCUGCCCUUUACUCGGGGAUAGCCUUUCGAAAGAAAGAUUAAUACCCGAUAGUAUAAUGAUUCCGCAUGGUUUCAUUAUUAAAGGAUUCCGGUAAAGGAUGGGGAUGCGUUCCAUUAGGUUGUUGGUGAGGUAACGGCU